rnacentral:tRNA from 96 species
GCGCCGCUAGCUCAGUUGGUUAGAGCAGCUGACUCUUAAUCAGCGGGUCCGGGGUUCGAGUCCCUGGCGGCGCACCU